rnacentral:lncRNA from 1 species
CUUUCAAUAACCAAGUGUCUGUUUAGUACCGUGAAGAAGAAGGUACCAGCUUCCGCCGCCGGCCCAAGUAAGAAGUGAAGGUCUCGCUCCAAAUUGACGCAAAGGGGGAGAUUGUUGGGCUGAAGUUCUGUUUUAUGUUGCGUCUUUUGGGCUCGUAGAUUAGCCUUNACCAGCUUCAGCCGCCGGCCCAAGUAAGAAGUGAAGGUCUCGCUCCAAAUUGACGCAAAGGGGGAGAUUGUUGGGCUGAAGUUCUGUUUUAUCUUGCGUCUUUUGGGCUCGUAGAUUAGCCUUGUAAUCUCCGGUUUGGGCCUGUCCAACCGAGAGCCUUUUAUGUAUUGUAUAUAAGUUAAUACUUGCAUGCAUAUUAGGUUAAGAUUAAAGAUUCAAGAUUUCAGUUUUAGCAUUCCAGAGUUUUACGAUAUUACUCUCUUGUAAUCUUCCAAUCCUUUACAGUUGAUGUUCUUAAUCGAGCUCUUCUAAGGAUUUUAUUUAAUCAUUCGACUCGUUUGAUUCAAGCUGUUUGUUCUUAUUAUUGCGUUCUGCCUUGUUAUUAAUAUAGUGUUCUUGCUGUUUCAUAUUGAUAUACUUGUUCAAGAUCUAAUCGAUCUUCAUAGAU